ACGAAGGGUGCAAGCGUUGCUCGGAAUUAUUGGGCGUAAAGGGUAGGUAGGUGGUAAUAAAAGUCUGGGGUGAAAUCCCUGAGCUCAACUCAGGACGUGCCUUGGAAACUUUAUUACUAGAGUGCUGGAGAGGUUCGCAGAAUUCCCGGUGUAGCGGUGAAAUGCGUAGAGAUCGGGAGGAAUACCAGAGGCGAAGGCGGCGAACUGGACAGCAACUGACACUCAACUACGAAAGCGUGGGUAGCAAACAGGA
rnacentral:rRNA from 1 species